CCGGAUUAGGAGUAGAAAAUAUUUUUGGGUGGUUCUGGAGAUGGAAAUGGGUGAAUAUAUGUGGAUGGUACUUCCGGAGUAGAAGCAGCAUGUGUGAGUGAACGUGCAAGUGAAUUUGAUUUAACCACAUGACAAACUCCAAAGGGUCUACACAGCUUGACCACACUAAAUGCUCAUAAGCAGUAAAUAGUAAAUGUGUGGCUCAAAGUCUAGCAAGCAUGUAUAUAUUGCUGUGGUAGGAAUUUAAACUCUCAUCAUACAGGAACUCGUCAUGUAACAUUUUAAAGAUUUUCAAAGAUAAAAUUCUCCAGAAUUCUAGCAUCUAUUUUAUUCUAGCUUUAAAUUAUAACAGUUAUGUCUAAACUUGAGAGAAAACUCAAAUUUUAAAAAUUAGGCAGAGCAACUAUUCAUCGUAUCCAUGCUAGAGUUUUAUUAUUAAGAUUCAGAUUAGCAUAGCUACUUUAUUUUUUUAUUAAACAUACUAAGCAAAAGACAUAUAUAUAUAAGCACAAAAUCUUUAUUUGGUUUUUCAUAGUUAUAUAGUAUAAGUAUAAAUAUAGAUAGAAAUACUUAGCGGGGUAAAUGGGGGUGCUCUCCCCCAAGCUGAAUUUUGAUGUAAUUUCUUUUGAUGUAGCUAGCAGGUAGCAGAGGUGUAUUUGAAAGUCGGCAGUAUCUUGACAGCAAUUAGAAUGUCCUCCGUCUGCUAGUCUUCUUGAUUCUUAAAUUAUGUGGAGCUCAAAUAGACAACAAAGCUUUGUGGAACUGAUUAAGUGUUAGCAUAAAUAUCUAGCCUUUAUCAUGUUGAGACUCCUCAAUAAAUGUUACUCCCUAUUUUUAUAUUUUCAUUUUAUAAAGCAGAAAAGAAAUAUUUAUUUUAUUUUUAUACCACCACAGUGAAUGUACUUAUGGGUUUCAUGCCACUCGUAUACUCACAUGGGGCUUACUAUUUUAACAUUUUUUUAUUUUCUUUUUAGGAUAGUAUGAACAUGAUUAACUAAGCAAACUAUUUGAAAUGAUUGAAAGGGAAAGGAUAACUACCAAGUGUACCUCUUGGCAAGGCGUUCGGUGUUUUUAAGUCCUCCGAACAGGACUGUCCGUUUUCUUAGUCGUCCUGGGAUUCGUUGGGUGGCAUAGUCGGUGCUUCCGGCAGCGCCUCCUCUUCAUGUAUAGUCAUCUUCUCUUUCCAUACCUGACUUGGUGCUACAGUCUCCUCAGGAUAGUUCUGUUUAAACUGUAUGUCUUCUGACCUUACCACUUCUCCUUCAUAGUCUGCCCAUCCGUCCUUGAUGAUCUGCCUUCUCUGGUUGCGGUUGCGUCGUUUUCUCACCUACUUAGAGUCUUCAACGAUAUAGUUAGGGUCAGUAAAAUAGCGGCGUACCUUGUCAGAGAGGAAGUGCAUAUGGACUUAUCCAGUUCCAAUGUAGAUGAUUGCUUUAACGGUGCCGAGGAACGGUCUUCCAAGGAUGAUGGGUGGAUCGUAUUCGUCUUCUCCCAUGUCAAUAACCUGAAAGUCUGUGUAGACAAAAUGAUCAUCUAUUUUGACAGGGACAUCAAUUACUGUUCCUUUAACCUCUUGAAACAUCUGAUCUGCCAGCUGGAGCUGAAUGUAUGUUGGUUUUAGGGGCAUGGUUCCGAACAAGAGCCGAUAGGUGACUGCGGCCAUUAUGUUGACGCCCGAUCCGGUGUCACAAGUCGUCUUGUAGAAGUUAUAUCCAUUUAUGGAGCAAAAGAUGCUUGGCAUUCCUGGGUCGUCCUUCUUGGUCAAAAAUGGUGACUUAAGUUGGUGAUCUUGACCUCCAUGAACUGCAGUGACAAUCUUAGCUAACUCGGUCCACACUUGCUUGUUCCUGUUCCUCCUGUUGGUCCUCUUCCUUGGUUCAUGUCAGGGUUGCCCUAGGAUUUGUGUAGUCUUGUUCUUGAAGGAAAAUGUCUCCUUCUUCCCUUUGAUGUAGAACCUGAUCUUGGCAGCACUAGCGUAGAUGACAGCUCCCGAGGUGUUCAAGAAUGGCCUCCCUA
rnacentral:lncRNA from 1 species